rnacentral:rRNA from 1 species
UGGGGAAUUUUGGACAAUGGGCGAAAGCCUGAUCCAGCAAUGCCGCGUGUGUGAAGAAGGCCUUCGGGUUGUAAAGCACUUUUGUCCGGAAAGAAAUCCUUGGCUCUAAUACAGUCGGGGGAUGACGGUACCGGAAGAAUAAGCACCGGCUAACUACGUGCCAGCAGCCGCGGUAAUACGUAGGGUGCAAGCGUUAAUCGGAAUUACUGGGCGUAAAGCGUGCGCAGGCGGUUUGCUAAGACCGAUGUGAAAUCCCCGGGCUCAACCUGGGAACUGCAUUGGUGACUGGCAGGCUAGAGUAUGGCAGAGGGGGGUAGAAUUCCACGUGUAGCAGUGAAAUGCGUAGAGAUGUGGAGGAAUACCGAUGGCGAAGGCAGCCCCCUGGGCCAAUACUGACGCUCAUGCACGAAAGCGUGGGGAGCAAACAGGAUUAGAUACCCUGGUAGUCCACGCCCUAAACGAUGUCAACUAGUCGUUGGGGAUUCAUUUCCUUAGUAACGUAGCUAACGCGUGAAGUUGACCGCCUGGGGAGUACGGUCGCAAGAUUAAACUCAAAGGAAUUGACGGGGUCAUAGCUGUUUCCU